rnacentral:rRNA from 1 species
AGCGAACGCUGGCGGCAGGCUUAACACAUGCAAGUCGAGCGCCCCGCAAGGGGAGCGGCAGACGGGAGAGUAACACGUGGGAACGUACCUUUCAGUUCGGAACAACCAAGGGAAACUUUGGCUAAUACCGGAUACGCCCGUAAGGGGAAAGAUUCAUCGCUGAAAGAUCGGCCCGCGUCUGAUUAGCUAGUUGGUGGGGUAAUGGCCCACCAAGGCGACGAUCAGUAGCUGGUCUGAGAGGAUGAUCAGCCUCACUGGGACUGAGACACGGCCCAGACUCCUACGGGAGGCAGCAGUGGGGAAUAUUGGACAAUGGGCGCAAGCCUGAUCCAGCCAUGCCGCGUGGAUGAUGAAGGCCUUAGGGUUGUAAAGUCCUUUUAACGGGGAAGAUAAUGACGGUACCCGUAGAAUAAGCCCCGGCUAACUUCGUGCCAGCCGCCGCAGUAACAC